CACUCGAUACUCUUGAGUGACGUACACGUGAUGAUGCGGUACUUACGGAGCACGUUUUCUGCUUGAUCGUCAUGAUGUCACCAAACUCUAUCGUCAUUAAUCUUGAUGAAACUGUCGCCAUUCAAUCUGCGUAACGCAAAGCUAUGAAUAAGUAGCUAAGUAGAUUUAUAAAAUAAACUUGUGAAUUAAUUACGGCAAUGAGAUUAAUUUAAGUUGAACAAUUUUGAGCUAAUAAUGUGUCAUAAUUAGUAGAAAGUUAGCCAACGGUCGAAAAUCGUUGAUAAUUCUUUCCAGACGAGUGUUAUCUAAUUGGAUUGAAUCUAACAAAUUUGCAAACGUAUGGCCUGCAGAUAAUUAGCAAGAAGAUAUGCCAAUUAUUAGCAGGACUCGGACUUUAUCACAUAACUGUUGGUGAGUCCACCACUGCUUAUGGGAGCAAUAAUUGAGAUAGCCAAGUUUAUCAGGAGCAGGUUUGCAAAGCGUCUGCCGUAAGCUUUAUGAGCGAACGAGCGAUAACGUUCGCACAUUGUCAUCUGUUUUGAAUUAUUUAAAUAUUAUUCUACACAAUUUCACAAAUCUAUAAAAAUAAAAUUCUAUACUACGUAUCUUUGAACUGCUUACUUUCGUUUUACACUUCUUGCAUAUGGAUGGACAAAUCUCUUUCCAUUUUACGUAAUUGAGAUCAUCUUGAAAUUAAAAUAAGAAUGAAAAUGAGAAAUGACGAAGAGAGGAUCUCAUUGAAAGAAAAAAAAUUGUUGGUUGACAUAUAAAAUACAUUUAGAUAUUCUCGAUAAUAUAAUUACGUUUACAGGAGUAUAAUUACAUUUAAGUAUUCGAAAGAUUAAAUAUGUGCUAACUAUGAACUACGCACUUAAGAGUAAGGCUUUCUUAUCUUCUUAAAAGAGCACGCUCUUUUAAAAUUCUAGAGAUUCUUCUCUUUCUCUUUUAUUUAUACUUUUUGUUUUUUUUUUUACUAUACAUCUUGUACUCCUUUUACAUUCUUGUGACAAAUGCAUCAUCUAAUCUAGAGUACUUCGUGGAUUUCUUUUUUGAUUGAUCUUUUCUAUAAAUUUUCUUUCUUCUCUUAAUUUAUCCAUAUUCACAACUUAUAUAUAUGAACAGUAAUAUGCAUUAUUCACAGUCACUAUACAAAUUUUGUUCGACACAGUUUGUUGCUAUAUAUUUAACAACGGACGUAAUCAACUUAUCUUAACACUCGAGAAGUCAAAGCGAUCAGUUUUGACUCCUAUCAAAUUUUUAACUAGUAACCUUGAUAUUACUUGACAGAAUCUUGUACUUCUUUUUAUUUUCCAGCUAUUGUGCUCUUACGUUUCGUAGUUCUAGAAAAAUUUUUAUACCGGAACGACCCGUUGAUUAAGUAAUCGGUAUACAAUCUCUAAAAAAUGACGUUAUCAAAAACGCAUUCUCAACAAUGCAAAUUAUCUAAACCAAUAUUAAAAUAUUGACUUCACUUCGGAUCUCACGCUAAUUAUUUGAACAAAUAAAGAACGAAGAUCAAGCCAUCUAUACCGAUCUUCCCAAAUACUUGUAUAUACAUAUGUGCGACAGAUGUCCUUCUAACAUUCUUGCAAUUUUUAACAGUAACAGGAACUGCAACAUCUAAUGCCCAAAUUGUCAAUCUUUUUAUGACGGGGCUGAUUUUAGUAACAAACGAGCACAUGCUGGAA